rnacentral:rRNA from 1 species
AGUGAACGCUGGCGGUAGGCCUAACACAUGCAAGUCGAACGGCAGCACAGUAAGAGCUUGCUCUUACGGGUGGCGAGUGGCGGACGGGUGAGGAAUACAUCGGAAUCUACUUUUUCGUGGGGGAUAACGUAGGGAAACUUACGCUAAUACCGCAUACGACCUACGGGUGAAAGCAGGGGAUCUUCGGACCUUGCGCGAUUGAAUGAGCCGAUGUCGGAUUAGCUAGUUGGCGGGGUAAAGGCCCACCAAGGCGACGAUCCGUAGCUGGUCUGAGAGGAUGAUCAGCCACACUGGAACUGAGACACGGUCCAGACUCCUACGGGAGGCAGCAGUGGGGAAUAUUAGACAAUGGGCGCAAGCCUGAUCCAGCCAUACCGCGUGGGUGAAGAAGGCCUUCGGAUUGUAAAGCCCUUUUGUUGGGAAAGAAAAACAGCAGAUUAAUACCCCGCUGUUCUGACGGUACCCAAAGAAUAAGCACCGGCUAACUUCGUG